rnacentral:pre_miRNA from 1 species
AGUGAAAUAGCUGGGACAUAUGGUGGUUCCAUUUUCCUAGCAGAAUCUCCAUUCUGCUUUCCAGAAUGGUUGUACUAAUUUGCAGUCCCAUCAACAAU